rnacentral:rRNA from 1 species
AGAGUUUGAUCCUGGCUCAGAUUGAACGCUGGCGGCAUGCCUUACACAUGCAAGUCGAACGGUAACAGGUCUUCGGACGCUGACGAGUGGCGAACGGGUGAGUAAUACAUCGGAACGUGCCCAGUCGUGGGGGAUAACUACUCGAAAGAGUAGCUAAUACCGCAUACGAUCUGAGGAUGAAAGCGGGGGACCUUCGGGCCUCGCGCGAUUGGAGCGGCCGAUGGCAGAUUAGGUAGUUGGUGGGAUAAAAGCUUACCAAGCCGACGAUCUGUAGCUGGUCUGAGAGGACGACCAGCCACACUGGGACUGAGACACGGCCCAGACUCCUACGGGAGGCAGCAGUGGGGAAUUUUGGACAAUGGGCGAAAGCCUGAUCCAGCAAUGCCGCGUGCAGGAUGAAGGCCUUCGGGUUGUAAACUGCUUUUGUACGGAACGAAAAAGCUUCUCCUAAUACGAGAGGCCCAUGACGGUACCGUAAGAAUAAGCACCGGCUAACUACGUA